AGCCUGCCCAGUGACAAAGUUCAACGGCCGCGGUACCCUAACCGUGCGAAGGUAGCAUAAUCACUUGUUCUCUAAAUAAGGACUUGUAUCAACGGCACUACGAGGGUUAUACUGUCUCCUUUUUCCAAUCAGUGAAACUGAUCUCCCCGUGAAGAAGCGGGGAUCAAAAUAUAAGACGAGAAGACCCCAUGGAGCUUUAAACUCACUGUACACCUCUAUGUUCCUAUAUCCUUAUAACACAAGAAACCUGUACAUUAGUUUUAGGUUGGGGGGACCACGGAGUACAACUUAACCUCCAUAACAAAUGGGCUAACACCCUUAUCCACGAGACACAACUCUAAGAAUUAAUAGACUAAUGCUUAUGACCCGAUAUUCGAUCAAUGAACCAAGUUACCCUGGGGAUAACAGCGCAAUCUACUUCAAGAGCUCAUAUCGACAAGUAGGUUUACGACCUCGAUGUUGGAUCAGGGUAUCCCGGUGGUGCAACCGCUACCAAUGGUUCGUUUGUUCAACGAUCAAAACCCUAC
rnacentral:rRNA from 1 species